AGAGUUUGAUCCUGGCUCAGAUUGAACGCUGGCGGUAUGCUUAACACAUGCAAGUCGAACGGAAACGAUACUAGCUUGCUAGUAGGCGUCGAGUGGCGGACGGGUGAGUAACGCGUAGGAAUCUGCCUGAUAGUGGGGGAUAGCCCGGAGAAAUUCGGAUUAAUACCGCAUAAUCUAUUCGUAGUAAAGUGGGGGACUUUCGAGCCUCACGCUAUCAGAUGAGCCUGCGUAAGAUUAGCUAGUUGGUAGGGUAAAAGCCUACCAAGGCGACGAUCUUUAGCUGGUCUGAGAGGAUGAUCAGCCACAUCGGGACUGAGACACGGCCCGAACUCCUACGGGAGGCAGCAGUGGGGAAUAUUGGACAAUGGGGGCAACCCUGAUCCAGCAAUACCGCGUGUGUGAAGAAGGCCUGAGGGUUGUAAAGCACUUUCAAUUGUGAAGAAAAGUUAGCGGUUAAUAACCGUUAGCCUUGACGUUAACUUUAGAAGAAGCACCGGCUAACUCCGUGCCAGCAGCCGCGGUAAUACGGAGGGUGCAAGCGUUAAUCGGAAUUACUGGGCGUAAAGCGUGCGUAGGCGGUUUAUUAAGUCAGAUGUGAAAGCCCCGGGCUUAACCUGGGAACUGCAUUUGAAACUGGUAAACUAGAGUAUGGUAGAGGAAAGUGGAAUUUCUGGUGUAGCGGUGAAAUGCGUAGAUAUCAGAAGGAACAUCAAUGGCGAAGGCAGCUUUCUGGACCAAUACUGACGCUGAGGUACGAAAGCGUGGGUAGCAAACAGGAUUAGAUACCCUGGUAGUCCACGCCGUAAACGAUGAUAACUAGCCGUUGGGGGGAUUUACCCUUUAGUGGCGAAGCUAACGCGUUAAGUUAUCCGCCUGGGGAGUACGGCCGCAAGGUUAAAACUCAAAGGAAUUGACGGGGACCCGCACAAGCGGUGGAGCAUGUGGUUUAAUUCGAUGCAACGCGAAGAACCUUACCUGGUCUUGACAUCCUGCGAACUUUCUAGAAAUAGAUUGGUGCCUUCGGGAACGCAGUGACAGGUGCUGCAUGGCUGUCGUCAGCUCGUGUCGUGAGAUGUUGGGUUAAGUCCCGUAACGAGCGCAACCCCUAUCCUUAUUUGCCAGCACAUCAUGGUGGGAACUAUAAGGAGACUGCCGGUGAUAAACCGGAGGAAGGCGGGGACGACGUCAAGUCAUCAUGGCCCUUACGACCAGGGCUACACACGUGCUACAAUGGGAAGGACAAAGAGCCGCGAAGCCGCGAGGUGUAGCUAAUCUCAUAAACCUUUUCGUAGUCCGGAUUGGAGUCUGCAACUCGACUCCAUGAAGUCGGAAUCGCUAGUAAUCGUAGAUCAGAAUGCUACGGUGAAUACGUUCCCGGGUCUUGUACACACCGCCCGUCAUACCAUGGGAGUGGGUUGCACCAGAAGUGGCUAGUCUAACUUAGUGAGGACGGUCACCACGGUGUGAUUCAUGACUGGGGUAAAGUCGUAACAAGGUAGCCCUACCGGAAGGUGCGGCUGGAUCACCUCCUU
rnacentral:rRNA from 1 species